ACCUGAUUUCACUAUAACUAGACCAAAGCAUGAAUGUACCUGAUGUCUUGCUCCACAGUGUAUGACAUAAUUAGUGCAAGAUGAUUUCAUCUAAUUCUUGUAUGGCAGUAAACACUGUUACUUAAAAACCUUUGUUUAAUGGUUUAUCACGUUAACAAUUUGACACUAGAAUGGAUUAUUACGGCUAGAACAACUGCUGCUGCAAUGACUCUGUCAUGCAUCCAUCCAUCCAUCCAUCCAGAAUUGAAGAAAUUCUUCUUCCUUAUUAUUGUUACACAUUUAAUGAAUCACAUUUUUGAGGGCCUAAUUAUGCACAAAAACUCUCAAAUAUUUCCAUACACAUUGGGCUUGUUGAAAAAUGUGAUAUUUUUAAGUUUACAUACAUGAUUAUAGUUAUGCCUCUGCAGCACCUCUAUGGAGUCUUGUCCUAAAAGCUUUGACCAAGAGCUAUGAAAAUUGGGAGGGACAUGUAGCACCCCGAGACAUAUUAAAAAAAGUUAGCAGAAGUAAUUUCCUAAAAUGAGCAGGAAGUGAGUUAUGACUUGAAUGACCAAUGUGGUCCCCUUUUGGACAUUUACAGGCUCAUUCCUUUGCAACCUUGUCUUAAGUGUUUCAUCUGAUUCACUGCAAACUUUGUCCCAUGUCAAGACGAAGGAGAUUAAGAGCAAUUAAAAAAAAAAGGAAAA